rnacentral:rRNA from 1 species
CCCUUAGAUGUUCUGGGCCGCACGCGCGCUACACUGACGAAUGCAACGAGCUUAUAACCUUGGCCGAAAGGUCUGGGUAAUCUCCAAAUUUCGUCGUGAUGGGGAUAGAUUAUUGCAAUUAUUAAUCUUCAACGAGGAAUGCCUAGUAAACGCAAGUCAUCAGCUUGCAUUGAUUACGUCCCUGCCCUUUGUACACACCGCCCGUCGCACCUACCGAUUGAAUGGUCCGGUGAAAUCUCGGGACGGCGGCUCGGUCGCUUGCGUCCGACUGCUGAAACUUGAUUAAACCAUNUNAUUUAUNGGAAGGUGAANUCGUANCA